CUCUUUUGAGCUUUCGAUGUCGGUAGAGGCAAAUGAGAAAGACAACAUUUAUCAAAGCAAUGAUGGACAUUAGAUUAGACAACGUGUAGAUGGCAAUCAUGUUAUGAGGAUAGUGAACAACAGGGCUUAAACUUCCAGUGAUUAGAAAACUGCUAAAUAUAUCCCUGUAUGAUCCCUUAUCUACAAGUUUCAAAACUAAGUUGGGGCAAAUAAUUAACCAACUUCUUUUGAAGUGGGAGAAAAUCUAAUUUUGAAGUGAAGUAUAAGCUUUUUGUGUUAAUUAGUGACCUAUAAGAACAUGGGAUCUUGUAUUUGGGUUCCAAUAAUGUCAUUUCCUCUCCAGUUAGUGUUGAUUCUUACUCGCUGGGUCUUGUAUAAAUUUUUAAGUUCACAAGUGAGAUGGAGUGUUGAAGUAUUGAUUGUUAUUGCAAUUCUUGCAGUUGGUUGACAACAUUUAUAUGCAUGUUCUUGUUUAAGGUACAAAUAUCAUUUCCCUUUUCUUGAAACCAAUGGCAUUGUUACGGUGGACAACAACCGUGUAGGACCCCUAUACAAGCAUGUCUUCCCCCCAGCAUUGGCCCCAGGGCUUUCCUUUGUUGGGUUACCAUUUAAGGCAAGUAUCCAAUUGCGGUACGAACUUCAGAUUUUGUUUAUGGUUUGAAUAAAUUCUUAUGCUAUAAUUUGUACUGCAGGUUGUUCCUUUUCCCUUGUUUGAGCUUCAAAGCAAUUGGAUUGCUGGUGUUUUAUCAAACAGGAUUGCACUUCCAUCAAAAGAGGAAAUGUUGGCAGAUGUUAAAGCUUUCUAUGAAAAUCUUGAAGCUUUUGGGAAGCCCAAGCAUCGGACCCAUGAAUUGGGUGAUGAUAUGGUAUGUUUUAUGCUUGAUCACAACCCUGAAUGAUUAUUUUGUGAGGUUCCCACAAGCAUUAACAUAAAGCCCAAUCGUCAUGUUUUAUGCUAACUAUGUUUUUAGACGAAUGCAUACCAAACUAAUUACCUAUAUAAUAUAUCAAAUUUGUUCUUUUGCUUACAUUUUGCAUGGAUAUCAUAAUGCAGCCUGCCUACUUGGACUGGCUUGCAGCAGUAUGUGGUUGUCCUGCCUAUGAAGAAUGGAGAAAGGAAAUGUACAUUGCUACUCAUAUGAAUAAAGUGGCCAAUCUCAGGUCAUACCGUGACGAUUGGCACGACAAUGAGUUGAUUCGUCAAGCUUAUGAAGAAUUUAGCAAGUAUGCAACAAAUGAAGGAAGUGGGAACCACUCGAAAUUGAGUGUUUGAUAAGAUUGGUUGUAUACAUGUUACAUAAUUUAUGUGUUGUUGAUUAAUGAAAAUAAUAGUAGUAUGGGAUCGCCCAUUUUCUUUACAAGUGCUCAGAAUAUUUGAUAAAUGAAAAGUUAGAGGUCCUUGGAUCCAUGCAAACUCUCACAAAAGACUGAUUUCAACCCAGAGCUUAGUUAGAAAAAUGAAUAACUUUUAAAUCGAAAUUAGAAUCUAUAAUAGUCACUAUUUGAAUUUCACUUCACAGUUCAUGUUCUCAAACAUGAUAUUAGAAUGCAAUAGUCAUUUAAGUGCAAAUUGUACUUGAUUGAAUUAUAAUUUAUGAGUUAAAAUAUAAAGGUAAAAAUGUAUGAAUACUUCAAAUUGUCUUUAAAUAUUUCCUCUUUCACAAAAUUUGACAUCACCUCUUUUUCAUGCCGUGAUUGUUUUCUUUACAAAAUCUACACUUUUUUCUGUCAUCCAUGCCUAUUUCUACACUUUUGAACUUCUUUCCAUGCCAUGUUUUCUGAUCUCUUCUUGAAUGGUUGAAACUAAAGUUUACAAAAGAAUUUGGGCACGAAAUACUUUGUUCUUUAUUGUGAAUUAGCCAACUUUUGAAGAUACUAAUUAAUAGUAUAAUACUACAACGUGCAUGUGAACUGGGCAGCAAGACGACGAUUCAAAAUUAAAUCUUGUUCUACUUUUGCCCUGAAUUUCCUCCCCUCGCCUCAACCGACGACUAUGCAACAGUCCCGGCGCGUGGCAGUGAUCGGCGCCGGUGCCGGAGGUCUUGUCUCGGCACGGGAACUUUCCCGCGAGGGUCACCAUGUGGUCGUAUUCGAACGGAAUACUCAAAUCGGAGGGACCUGGGUAUACUCGCCCGAAAUUGAAUCCGACCCACUUGGAAUCGACCCGAAUCGGACCCGAAUGCACAGCAGCCUCUACAAAUCUCUACGCACCAAUCUUCCCAGAGAACUCAUGGGAGUCCGUGAUUACCCUUUUGUUCCUCGAGAAGGGGAGGAUCGAGAUCCGAGGCGAUUUCCAAGUCAUCCAGAGGUUUUGAAGUAUUUGGAAGAUUUCGCUAAUGAAUUUGGGAUUUGUAAAUUGGUGAGAUUUAGAACUGAGGUGGUGUUUGCUGGUUUGGAGGAGGUUGGGAAAUGGAGGGUUGAAUUCAGAUGUGAAAAUGGGGAUGUUGAUUAUGACAUUUUUGAUGCUGUGGUUGUUUGUGUUGGGAACUAUUCGGAGCCUCAUGUAGCAGAGAUUCCUGGUAUGAGAACAAGAAAAACUCUUCAAUUAAAUCCAAUUGUUUACUGUUUAAAUGAAUAUGAAGGUUGAGGAGGAGAUAGAAUUGGCAUUUUAUUCUCUUUUCCCACUAGCAAUUAGAGUUCUGUACAAUUUAGAUAAGAUUAACUACUCUUAUCCAUUAGUUUCAAUUCUUGCAGGUUUUGUAUAGGUUGAUUGUGCAAGAGUAAAUUAUGAGAAGAAUAAGGAAACACAAACUUUAAUGAAUGAAUUUACAUUGUUUCCUUAAGAGAAUUUUGUCCUUCUAUGGUGCUGUUCAAGGUGUCAUGAACUUGUCUUCCAGUCUAAGACAGGAUUACUAACUUGUGAAUAGAAUACUUCAACAACAUGACUCAACGAACACUUUAAUAUCUAUUAAUUAUAUAGAAAUGAGAAACAAUUGGAGGAACAAUUUUUUGUGUGUUUUUUUCCUUGUAGACCUUAUAAAGAAACCACAUAUUUAUAGACUUGGAUAGAGUUUUGUCUUUUGAGAAGAGGCAUAUCCUCAAACAACAUACCUUCUCACGAAAAGUUAUGACUUCCAAAUUUAAAAACAAAUAAAUUUUUAUUCAUAUUUUCCAACAGGUUGAUUGUGUUCUUGCUCGUUUUCUGUCAUUUUUUUCAUAAUAUACAAGCUUUUGUGUUUUGGUUUUAGUGUUUUUUUUUUUAUUCAUGUACUCUUUUUAUGCUGUCUUGUGUCUGCCAGUCUAUAGGAAAGUUUCCGACAGGAGUUUUCUCUCUCUCUCUCUUUUGGGAUAAGGGACUGACUAGUACAUUGUCUUUUAAUAAGAAGAUGAUCUUUUCAGGGAUUGAUGGAUGGCCUGGGGAGCAAGUGCAUAGUCACAAUUAUCGUGAUUCAGAACCAUUUCGAGGUAAGGUACAUUACAUUCAGAUUGCUCUGCAUAUUCUAUGUCAAUUUACACGACUUCACUGAUAUUGUACGUGUUGAGGAGGGCCAUAUCUUGUGAUUCUAAACUCUGUUGUAUUCAUUUUAAUUUUUGUAUUUCAGUAACUUUUUCCAUUUGUGUGAUGAUUGGAAAAAGACUGUUGAUCUACAAACCUGUGUCUUUGAUGUCUGGUAUAUAUGAAUCCGUUGAUGCAAAUAUAAACAGAACAUGUUUAAUUCCUUCUUCUUUUUCCUCUCUUUUGGGACAGGUUGUUGUCUUGAUAGGCUAUUCCUUUAGUGGUAUGGACAUUUCUCAGGAGCUCAAUGGGGUUGCCAAAGAAAUUCAUAUUGCUUGCAGAUCAGCUAAAACAGAGCUUUUGGACACACAAUCAAUUAUUAGUAAUGCGUCAUUUCAUCCACUGGUAUUAGUGAGGAGGGGAUUUCUAUUUCUGAAUCAGGUCUUUAAGGUCCUAAUAGUUACUUUACAAACUGCAGAUCAAAAGUCUCCGUGAAGACGGGACAAUGGUCUUUCAAGACGGAUGCGUUAUUUCAGCUGAUGUUAUUCUACAUUGCACUGGGUAUGCUAUUAUAGAUUGUUUUGAGUUUUCAAUGUAGGUGGAAGCAGAGAAAUGACGGACAUUACACAACAUGUCCAUUGCAAUCUUGUUGAACAAAGUUUAAACUUCUAAUUAUUAGAAAACUGCUAAAUACAUUUCUGUAGGAUCUCUUCUCUACAAAAUAUGAAACUAAGUUGGUGCAAAUAUCGAAUAAAUGGAAGUUUAAAUAAUUAACCUUCUCUAAAAAGGGUGAAAGAAUAACAUUGUACUGAAGUUCAGGCUUUUAAGUCGAUUGACAGUUUAACAUGGAAUAAGAACAUGAGGUUUGUAUUAGUUAAUUUUUGGGCCUUCUAAAAAUUUCCAAAUUCACAAGUGAGAUGCAGUGUUGAAGUAUUGGUAAUUAUCAAAAGAAUUGCAGGUAGUUGAUAUCAUUCAUAUGCAUGUUCUUGUUGAAGGUACAAAUAUCAUUUCCCUUUUCUUGAAACCAACGGCAUUGUUACAGUGGACGACAACCGUGUAGGACCUCUAUACCAGCAUGUCUUCCCCCCAGCAUUGGCCCCAGGGCUUUCCUUUGUUGGGUUACCAUUUAAGGCAAGUUUUCGAUUGUAGUACGAACUUCGAGUUUGGUUUAUGGUUGAAAUAAAUUCCUGUGCUAUUUGUACUGCAGGCUGUUCCUUUGCCCAUCUUUGAGCUUCAAAGCAAUUGGAUUGCUGGUGUUUUAUCAAACAGGAUUGCACUUCCAUCAAAAGAGGAAAUGUUGGCAGAUGUUAAAGCUUUCUAUGAAGAUCUUGAAGCUUUUGGGAAGCCCAAGCAUCGGACCCAUGAAUUGGGUGAUGAUAUGGUAUGUUUUAUGCUUGAUCACAACCCUGAAUGAUUAUUUGUGAGGUUCCCACAAGCAUUAACAUAAAACUUUUGUGAAGAAACGUGCAAUUGAAAACUAACUUACCAUUUACUAAAAAAAAAAACUCUAUUUUCGUUAGUUGUAAUAUUACUCAUCAACUUUCACUAAUAAAAUUUCAUAAAUGUUUUAGAAUUUUAAACAAACUUCAAGACUUAUGAUUAUGUGGUGAUGAGAUGACCUAAAACAAUGUGAUGAUUUAAAUUUUCACUCUAGGUUACUGCUACAUCAUUUCAUAUUCCAAUUUUUGUUCAAAUUAUAUUUCAAGUAUUUUUUAACAUUUUGAAAGUUUAAGAGUAAUAUUGUAACUUUUGAAAGUAUAUAAGUAUUUUUUUAUAUGGAUGGUAAAGUUUAGGGGUGUUUUUUAUAAUUUAACCAUAAAAAAGGAAAAUAAUUAGUUUCAAACUUGAAAUUGACUAAAAGUUCCAAAUUACUACUUAUCUGCAUAUAAACCUACUUGUGGUUUUUGUGUUAGAACCCUAACCCAAGUGAACAUUGGUGGUAAAGGUGAUGUUUUGAUCUAUAGAGAUUUUUUUUUUUUUGGGUUCAAAUCCCAUAUCAUAAAUUUGGCCCACUUGAUUAUCAUUUUGCUUUAUGUUUAUGUAUUUUUUAUGCAAAUCAAACUCAUGAAGCUCUAUAACAUAUCAACUUUGUACUUUUGCUUAUAUGUUUGUAUGGAUGUUACAAUGCAGCCUGUGUAUUGUAACUGGCUUGCAACAACUUGUGGUUGUCCAGCCUUUGAAGAAUGGAGGAAGAAAAUGUACAUUGCUAUUGGUAUUUAUAAAAAGGCCAAUCUCGAGACAUAUCGUGAUGAUUGGCAGGACAAUGAGUUGAUUCGUCAAGCUUACGAGGAAUUCAGCAAGUAUAAAUACAAAUGAAAGGACACUCAAAACCACAUAGUUUUGAAUGCUUCAUAAGAUUGGUUCUAUAUGUGUACAAUACAUAUUUAUCUAAUGUGUUGUUGAUUACAAAUGUUGGAUCCUGAUUUGAAAAUAAUAUCAACUUAUUGGAACAUAUUGAAUUGCCCAUCGUCUUGGUGAUUUGGUUAAAAGUCAUCAAAAUAUGCUUCUACAAAAUCUUCAAAAACUAUGUUGAAAUUUUUAGUUGAGCAAUUAACCUCAAAGUUUAUAAAAAAGAAAAGUUAUUUUAUACCCUAAAGUGUUGUUUUCUCCAUUUUAUCCUCAAAUUUAUUUCUUCACGUCUUUUUUGAUAAACAAUUGCAGGAUUGUCGUUGAAAUAGUAAGAAGAUUGUCGUUGAAAGAGUAAGAAUAGUGGAAUAUUCUUGAUCUCACCUAGGUGUUUAUGGUUUCACGACUACAAACACUCACAUCAUGUGGAGUGGUACCAACACACUUUAUCACAAAAAAGAUUUUUCUUUCUCAAUGGAGACCUCGAUAUUUUCAUCAAACGUACAUAUUUCUAACAUUAGAGAGAAGCAAACUGGGAAGCUUUCUUUCUUUUAAUUUAGAAAAGGUAGGAGCAAAAAUCCUUUCCUUUUAAGGCUUUUACACAAGUAUCUCCCUACCACGUGGUCACAUGGGGAACUUUAAAAAAUUAUAAUAACAACAAUAUGGAAAAAUUAUGUGAAAUAGCUUUUAAUAGGUUUUGUCUCAUACACUAUCACAUUUUUUAAAAAUGGUUUAAAUAUCUUUUGUUUGUCUUGUGCGAGAUUGACUACCGAGGUUUUUCUAAAAUAUUACAAAGUUUUAAUCCAUAGAUGGUCCAACAUUAGAUCGAAAUUCUACUAUUAUUCAUAUCUUAACUAUUUUUUUUAUCUUUUAAAAAAGUAUGGAUCUCACUUCAUCAGUUUUAAAUAGUGAUCGGAAAAGCUUUAAAAAUCUUGAUUCAUCUCAAUCAAAAUUGUACCAAGAAAUAAUUUUGGAAUUUUGGUAUGCAAUUUGAUCCGAGAUGGACCAAAUCUUUUACUAAGUCAAAUUGCCCAAUUUUAAAAAGAUUGCUAUGCUAAUCUUGUUAACAUAAUUAUGAAAUACAUAAAUUAGAAUAAAAGAUUUGAGGAAUUGUAUAAAAAAUUAGUGUAAAAAAAUAGAUAGAAAACUAGUUAUUUUGAAUUUUGAAAAAUUGGCAUAAAUGCAUGUUUUCAAAUUUUACAGAAAGCUAAUUAAGAUUUGGAAAGAUUUGAAAAUUUGUUAAUGUUGUUGAUCUAACUGAUAUCUAGCUAGAUGCACGGAAAAAUCCAAAACAAUCCUAAGUAGAACAAUUUUAAUAUUUUAGGAAAAUGUCGAUCAAUCUUGAGCACUAUAUGAACAAAGAGAAAAGAUGGUUUAAACGAUUUUUGAAAAACUAUGCUAAUUUUACAAAGACAAAACCUGUUUAAAGCUAUCUCCAACAAUUUCCCAACAGUAUGCAUGUGGAGUAGAGUUGGUAGCACUUCAGCUAUCAUUCAUACUUUUAUCAAAAAAAGAUUCCCAUUUCUUACCCAUAAAUCCAUGUUCUACUCAAUUAGCUACACUCAAUUUCCUCCCCUCCCCUCAACCAUCAACGAUGCCUCACUCCAGCCGCGUGGCAGUGAUCGGCGCCGGCGCCGGAGGCCUCGUCUCAGCCCGGGAACUUUCCCGGGAGGGCCACCAUGUGGUUGUAUUCGAACGGAAUACUCAAAUUGGAGGGGCCUGGGUAUAUUCACCGGAAAUUGAAUCCGACCCACUUGGAGUCGACCCGGAUCGGACCCGAAUCCAUAGCAGCCUCUUCAAAUCUCUUCGAACCAAUAUACCUAGAGAACUCAUGGGGGUCCGGGAUUUCCCGUUUGUUCCUCGAGAAGGGGAGGAUCGAGAUCCGAGGCGAUUUCCAAGUCAUCAGGAGGUUCGCAAGUAUUUGGAAGAUUUCGCUAAUGAAUUUGGGGUUUACAAAUUUGUGAGAUUUGGAACUGAGGUUGUGUUUGCUGGUUUGGAGGAGCUUGGGAAAUGGAGGAUUGAAUUUAGAUGUGAAAAUGGGGACGUUGAUUAUGAGAUUUUUGAUGCUGUGGUUGUUUGUGUUGGGAAUUAUUCGCAGCCUCGAGUAGCAGAGAUUCCUGGUAGGAAGCUUCUCUUUACUUCAGCCACUAGGCUCAGCAAACACUCCAAUAUCUAAGUAAUUGUAUAGAAAAGGAAAAGAAUUGGUGGAAAAAUUCUGUGUUUUUUCCUUUUUUCUUUUUCUUGUUGAACUUAUAACGAAACCAUAUGAAUACAUAGUUGAUUGAGAGGAGAAAUUUUAGUUACUAGAUAAAUGUGCAAUAGUUGUUUACACCAUUUUAGCCGUGAGUGGGCCAAACAGCCCCUUUAUGUUGUCUUGUGUCUGUGUACAUCUCUCUCUCGGGAUAAGGGAUUUACAUGUGCAUUAUCUUCGUACGACGAAACAAUCUUUUCAGGGAUUGAUGGAUGGCCUGGAGAGCAAGUGCAUAGUCACAAUUAUCGUGAUCCCGAACCAUUUCGGGGUAAGGUACAUUUACACGUUCUGCAUAUUUUAUGUCAACUUAUAUAACACUAAGGGUACUGUAGGUGUUAGGGUGUGUCAAACUUUCUGAUUCUAAACUCAAUUGUGUACAUUUUAAUUUUUGUUUUUCAAGAAGUUUUUUCAUUCACAUGAUGAAACAAACAUGGAUUGGCCUCAGUUGUGUAUAACUUAAUUUCUUUUGGGAUAGGUUGUUGUGUUGAUAGGUUAUUCUUCGAGUGGAACAGACAUUUCUCAGGAGCUCAUUGGGGUUGCCAAAGAAAUUCAUAUUGUUUGGAGAUCACCUAAAAGAGAGCUUUUGGACAGAGAAUCAAUUAUUAGUAAUGUUUCAUUUCAUCCAAUGGUAUAAGUUAGAAUUGGAGGAGAUUUCUUUUUAUUUUUUGAAUGAGGUCUUUAAGGUCCAAAUAUUUACUUAAAAACUGCAGAUUGAAAGUGUGUGUAAAGAUGGGACAGUGGUCUUUCAAGACGGGUGUGUUGUUUCGGCUGAUGUAAUUUUGCAUUGCACUGGGUAAGCUACAAUAGAUUGCUUUUAAGCUUUCAAUGGAGGUAGAAGCAGAUGAGAUAUACAAUAUUUAUCAAAGCGAUGAUUGACAUGCUAAAGUAGAUUCAAAUCUUGCAAUAGAAUCAAAACAAGCAUUGCUCAAUUGGGGUGAUUCAAAUAAUUAAGGUAUUUUUUUAAAAAUAAAUUGAAAAAAAUGUGUAGAUUUAAAACUAUUUAGGUAGAUGAGGUUGUUUUUUUUGUUUUGUUUUAAUUAAAGUGAGUCUCUUGAAUUAGAAUGCAUGAGAGAGAGAAAAUUAUGAUGAAUGCCUUAUUUUAGGAUUUGGAUACUAAAUUUAGGGAGAUUUUGUUAAUUAGGGUAGAAUUGUGAAAUUAUGGGGAAAAAAAAUGGGUGUAGUGGAGACUAAUUUCUGUAGGAUUCCUUAUCUACAAGCUUCGAAACUAAUUUAGUGCAAAUAUCAAAUAAAUUAGAGUUUAAAUAAUCUCGCUUGAGCCUUUGAGUUGAUUGGUAAUUAAACAUGGUAUUUGGAGAAUAAGCCUUAUGUUCUAGUCCUAAUAAUAUCAUUUCCUCUCCAAGUUAGUAUUGAUUUUUACAUGUUCAGCCUUCUACAAAUUUCUAAGCCUGUAGGGUUGAAGCUUAUAUUUUGUAACCUACCGACUAUCAACUUAAACUUCUCUGAGGUAAAAACGUAAAGUUGGAGGUUGAAAAACUUGAAUCUCACUGAAACAUUGCUUUGGUCUUUGAUACUUACCCCUGACUUUAUGUUAAAAAUCUGAAUAUAGUUACCAUAAGAACUGCAGGGCAGUUGACAACAUUUACAUGCAUGUUCUUGUACAAGGUACAACUAUCAUUUCCCUUUCCUUGAAACCAAUGGCAAUGUUACAGUGGACGACAACCGUGUAGGACCUCUAUACAAGCAUGUCUUCCCCCCAGCAUUGGCCCCGGGGCUUUCCUUUGUUGGAUUACCAUUCAAGGCAAGUGUUC
rnacentral:lncRNA from 1 species